rnacentral:rRNA from 1 species
UACGGAGGGUGCGAGCGUUGUCCGGAAUCACUGGGCGUAAAGGGCGCGUAGGCGGCCUGCUAAGUAGGGGGUGAAAUCCUGCGGCUUAACCGCAGGGCUGCCUUCUAAACUGUCAGGCUCGAGCACAGUAGAGGCAGGUGGAAUUCCCGGUGUAGCGGUGGAAUGCGUAGAGAUCGGGAAGAACAUCAGUGGCGAAGGCGGCCUGCUGGGCUGUUGCUGACGCUGAGGCGCGACAGCGUGGGGAGCAAACAGG